UGGGGAAUAUUGGGCAAUGGACGCAAGUCUGACCCAGCAACGCCGCGUGAAGGAAGAAGGCUUUCGGGUUGUAAACUUCUUUUAAGGGGGAAGAGAAGAAGACGGUACCCCUUGAAUAAGCCACGGCUAACUACGUGCCAGCAGCCGCGGUAAUACGUAGGUGGCAAGCGUUGUCCGGAUUUACUGGGUGUAAAGGGCGUGCAGCCGGAGAGGCAAGUCAGAUGUGAAAUCCGCGGGCUCAACCCGCGAACUGCAUUUGAAACUGCUUCCCUUGAGUAUCGGAGAGGUCAUCGGAAUUCCUAG
rnacentral:rRNA from 1 species